rnacentral:rRNA from 1 species
CAGUAGCCGCGGUAAUACGUAGGUGGCGGGCGUUGUCCGGAAUUAUUGGGCGUAAAGGGAGCGCAGGCGGACAUAUAAGUCCAUCUUAAAAGUGCGGGGCUUAACCCCGUGAGGGGAUGGAAACUGUAUGCCUUGAGUGCAGGAGAGGAAAGCGGAAUUCCCAGUGUAGCGGUGAAAUGCGUAGAUAUUGGGAGGAACACCAGUGGCGAAGGCGGCUUUCUGGACUGUAACUGACGCUGAGGCUCGAAAGCCAGGGGAGCGAACGGGAUUAGAUACCCGUGUGUCCCUGUCUCUUAUACAC